UACGUAGGCGGCCAUAUAAGUCAGAAGUGAAAGGCUACGGCUUAACCGUAGUAAGCUUUUGAAACUGUAUGGCUUGAGUGCAGGAGAGGAAAGCGGAAUUCCUAGUGUAGCGGUGAAAUGCGUAGAUAUUAGGAAGAACACCAGUAGCGAAGGCGGCUUUCUGGACUGAAACUGACGCUGAGGUACGAAAGCGUGGGUAGCGAACAGGAUUAGAUACCCUGGUAGUCC
rnacentral:rRNA from 1 species